GUGAUAGUAAAUUUAAUAAUGUCAGCGAUUUGAAGGGUUUGAAUCCUAAACGUGAAGAAAUGUGCUUCACCCCUCCGCCCGCUGCCUUCCUCUCCACCACCCCCAGUCAUGUCGGGGAGCUCCGUGGCACAGAAGCCAAAACGCAUCGCUCAGAGCCCAUUGGUCCCACGUGCCAGGUCAUCUUUCUGAACAAAAGUCAAGUGUCCCAAUGCAGCCUGUGCCAGUGCUGGACAUGCACCCAACUGCUUGAACAGCACAGUGGUAUUAAGAAGGAAGGAAGAGGAUACCGUGUAAUUUUGCAAUGAAACACCAAAUAUUCAUAGGUGUGUUCGUCCUGAGGCAGUCCCACUGCACCUCACGAUGAGCCCCGUGUGACGACGAGUCACAACAUUCUACAUACAGGAUCGAUGUACUUGGGUGAAGUUAUCCACAUGUAAUGAUAACUGAGCACCUUCUCAUCAAUACUGUUCUCUGCGAAAUCCCUGCAUUCACUCUGCUGAGCCGAUCUCUACAAAAUGCAGUGUGAAAUUCAUGGUUGAUCUGUAUUUCUAGCACAAAAAUGGAUCAUUUUGUUUCUCAAACUCAAAGGGAUUCAGAAGCAACCAAAAAAUAAUGCACUGCUAUGGCCACACACCUGUGCACACCGCUUCCCUUUUCC
ensembl:lncRNA